GCAGCCAUGCCGCGUGUAUGAAGAAGGCCUUCGGGUUGUAAAGUACUUUCAGUCGUGAGGAAGGCAUUAACGUUAAUAGCGUUAGUGUUUGACGUUAGCGACAGAAGAAGCACCGGCUAACUCCGUGCCAGCAGCCGCGGUAAUACGGAGGGUGCGAGCGUUAAUCGGAAUUACUGGGCGUAAAGCGCAUGCAGGUGGUUAGUUAAGUCAGAUGUGAAAGCCCGGGGCUCAACCUCGGAAUUGCAUUUGAAACUGGCUGACUAGAGUACUGUAGAGGGGGGGUAGAAUUUCAGGUGUAGCGGUGAAAUGCGUAGAGAUCUGAAGGAAUACCGGUGGCGAAGGCGGCCCCCUGGACAGAUACUGACACUCAGAUGCGAAAGCGUGGGGAGCAAACAGGAUUAGAUACCCUGGUAGUCCACGCCGUAAACGAUGUCUACUUGGAGGUUGUGGCCUUGAGCCGUGGCUUUCGGAGCUAACGCGUUAAGUAGACCGCCUGGGGAGUACGGUCGCAAGAUUAAAACUCAAAUGAAUUGACGGGGGGGCCCGCACAAGCGGUGGAGCAUGUGGUUUAAUUCGAUGCAACGCGAAGAACCUUACCUACUCUUGACAUCCAUAGAACUAGCAGAGAU
rnacentral:rRNA from 1 species